rnacentral:snRNA from 1 species
AUACUUACCUUAAGAUGUCAGAGGAGAUCAAGUAGUCCUACUGACCGAGUAUGCGCUUUCAAUUGGAGGAAUGCUAAGCAUUUAAGUCUUUUGCACCUUUUAUGGUCCAAACUUUUUAAUUGAUGUAAGCUUCUUCGCCAUUACACAAACGAUUGCGAAAGGCGUGCUUGCUGACGUUUCGUUUCCCUGUGUCUUCGAUGAUUUCAGUCCAUGUACUAUGUAUUUGGGCUUGUUGUUUGAUGAUGCCCUUUUUUCCUUCUGCCUGGAGAAGUAUGGUACCGAGUACAAAUCGGUGCUAGGGAAGCUGGAUCCAACACAGAAGAAAUUCUGUUUAUUGAGAAUGUUUUGAACGGACGAUAGAAUUGUAUAAUGUUUUUUUUGGUUGUUGAUUCUGUUAAUUCAUGAAGGUUGAGCAAUCAAGAAUUACCAUUUUCGAAGUUAUCACCUCCGUUUUUAACGUUGGAUAGCAAUAUUCAACACUCAUUAAAUGGAUUAUCUCUUUGGAGAAAAUUCUAGUUGGAUUUGGUAGGAACGGGUGGAUCUUAUAAUUUUUGAUUUAUUC